rnacentral:tRNA from 1 species
GAGGGCAUAGCACAGUGGUAGAGUGCAUGCCUAGCACGCAUGAGGUCCUGGGUUCAAUCCUGAGUACCUCCA